UCUGCCCUUGAGAGGAAGAUCUGUCCUUUGGGAGCUGCAGCCUUUACCUUGCCACUCUUGCCUUAUCCAAGUUAGUGAAUGUGGAGAAUGAAUACGCACAUCUCGUCAUCCCAGGUGAUUGUGUGGCUACUGAGAGGUAAGCCGAUGUAUACCAAAGCCUUCCUUCGGCCCCCUCAUCUUUCUGCUCUAAGAGGUCAUGUGCUCCAUAGCUGUGACAGCUACCUUCUGACCAUAAGGGAAAGGAAGAGAGGAUCAGACUACAGUUGUCACAUCGCAGAACCACUGAACAUAUGCUACCAGCUGCUUACCUUUACAACUUUUGUUAUUUAACAAAGGAGAAAAAGGAAACCAAGAAAGGCAGGAAUGAAGUCUAGUACCACAAACAGAAGAAAGGAAAUUCACCUUGAGAUCAAGGAAGGGGACCACCAGCUUGCUGCAAACCGCAAGAGAAAAGAAAAAGAUUUGGUAUGGGAAUAAAUAGUGGCUUGCGUGUC